rnacentral:rRNA from 1 species
UACGGGGGGAGCAAGCGUUGUUCGGAUUUACUGGGCGUAAAGGGCGCGUAGGCGGCGUGACAAGUCACUUGUGAAAUCUCCGGGCUUAACUCGGAACGGUCAAGUGAUACUGUCGUGCUAGAGUACAGAAGGGGCAACUGGAAUUCUCGGUGUAGCGGUGGAAUGCGUAGAGAUCCGGAAGAACACCGGUGGCGAAGGCGGUCUGCUGGGGGUAAUGCUGACACUGAUGCGCGACAGCGUGGGGAGCAAACAGG